rnacentral:rRNA from 1 species
GACGAACGCUGGCGGCGUGCUUAACACAUGCAAGUCGAGCGGUAAGGCCCUUUCGGGGGUACACGAGCGGCGAACGGGUGAGUAACACGUGGGUGACCUGCCCUCAGCUCUGGGAUAAGCCUGGGAAACUGGGUCUAAUACUGGAUAUGACUCCACGGUGCAUGUCGGUGGGGUGGAAAGCCUUGUGCGGCUGAGGAUGGGCCCGCGGCCUAUCAGCUUGUUGGUGGGGUGANGGCCUACCAAGGCGACGACGGGUAGCCGGCCUGAGAGGGCGACCGGCCACACGUGGGACUGAGACACGGCCCAGACUCCUACGGGAGGCAGCAGUGGGGAAUCUUGCGCAAGUGGGCGAAAGCCUGACGCAGCGACGCCGCGUGAGGGAUGACGGCC